GAUCCAUCAGUAUAAAGUUGGUUAUAAUUUUGCCACUCUGACAGCAUACUAUAUACAUCUUCCUUAUGAAUUUCUUGAAAAUUUUAAUGAUUCAUUAAUAAUUAUUUUAAUAGGUGUAUAUUUUGAAUUAUAAGAAUUUAAAUAACAUGGCCAAAGAAUACUAGAAAAUAGAUUAUGAUCACAAGAAAAAUGUAACAAAUCAGAGAUGCCUUCUACUUUAUAGUAGGAAUUAUUGUCAGUUCGGUUAAUAUAGUCCUGUAUCUUUAAUAGGAGUGGAUGAUUAUUAAUAGAAGUUAAUUUGAGAAAGAAUUUUGUUUGUAGAUAUUUGAAUCUAAGAGCUAGUGGGGGAAUAUUACAUUCUACCUGUAAUGAUAUAAUAGGAGUAGACCUAAAAGCGCCUGUUAUGAUCCUUAAGCAUUUAUUUUGUAUUUUUUCUAAUUUAUUAUAUCGAGGACCUAUUAAUUGGUUAUUGACUCUAACAUAAAGUUUACGACCAUGCAAGAAAUUGAAUAUCCAACUAACUAUUUUAUCAGGGACAUUUAAGGAUAGAAGAUUGGAUGAUAAUUGUUCUAAAUCAACAUUAUUAAAUGCUCCUACAACAUCCAAAAAAACACCAGCCAAUAUCUUAUUGUCGAUCUGGGCACUAUGGAUGUCAAGACAUAAAUGCCGUAUACUCUCACAAGCAGAACGACCACAUCGAAAUCCAAAUUGAUUAUUAGAUUACUGUGUGGAGGAAUGUUGGAUGGAAUUGAAGAAGAUUCAGUUUCCGACACUACCAUGGAAAAUUUUGUGAUUGUAGGCAAGUGAUAGCUGCCCAAAGAGUCCUGAUGAACUUGCCAUUCACAGCACAGGAAUAAUGAAGAUGAUACUAUUGUUAGAUCUAGUCCAUUUGGUCUCCAAGAAUUAGUACCCACUGUAGUUGGUUGAUCAUUAUUUAAGAGCAUUAAGUCAUUAUCGUCCAUUACAUCCAUGAUGUCUCUACCUCUAGAAUUGGUUUCUAUUACAACCCCAAAUGGCCAUACCAUUUGGGGUUAAGCAUUGGGGGUUGAGCAUUAAAAUCACCAGCAAUUAUUAUUGGUUUUGGAAUACUAUGCAACAGUCUAUUAAAUUUAGAUUUGUCAAAGUUAGGUACACUGUUGCCAGGACUAUAAAAGCUUACAAUUGAGAUGUCUUUUUGUUUGUAUUUAAUUUUGAUUGCUACAUUUUGCAAGGAGUUAUCAGAAAAUGUUUCUAACUUUUGAAAAUAAAUGCCAUUUCUAACAAAAAUUGCUACACCAUUGUGAUCAUUACCACAAUCAUUUCUUAGUAUUGUAUAACCUCUGAUAGAAAACUGUAUAUUUGGUUUAAGCCAAGUUUCUGAUAUAAGUGCUAUGUGUAUGUCCUGCUCAUAAAGAAGGUUUUGAAGCUGAAGUCUGUUACUCAACAGACUUUGAGCAUUCCACUGUACUAUGUUAAGUUUGUGACAGUUGAAUGUGAUGUUUUAUUUUUAAUUUCUAUGGUAUCUUUAAUAGCUGAACUAAUUGCGUGUGAGCUAAUGCUUUGAUUCUGUGUUUUAUUUAGUGUAAUGACUUUGAUUAUUGAUUCUGUGAUUAGGUUCAUUGCUGCUGGAUUGGAUAAAAUUAAAUUAAUGAUGUCUUGUGUGUUCUCUGUCUUAUUAAGUGAUGGAAAGUUUGUUGGAUGUUUAAAUAAAUCUGAUAAUGGUGUUUUA